rnacentral:rRNA from 1 species
GACGAACGCUGGCGGCGUGCCUAAUACAUGCAAGUAGAACGCUGAAGGAGGAGCUUGCUUCUCUGGAUGAGUUGCGAACGGGUGAGUAACGCGUAGGUAACCUGCCUGGUAGCGGGGGAUAACUAUUGGAAACGAUAGCUAAUACCGCAUAAUAGUAGAUGUUGCAUGACAUUUGCUUAAAAGGUGCAAUUUCAUCACUACCAGAUGGACCUGCGUUGUAUUAGCUAGUUGGUGGGGUAACGGCUCACCAAGGCGACGAUACAUAGCCGACCUGAGAGGGUGAUCGGCCACACUGGGACUGAGACACGGCCCAGACUCCUACGGGAGGCAGCAGUAGGGAAUCUUCGGCCAUGGACGGAAGUCUGACCGAGCAAAGCCGCGUGAGUGAAGAAGGUUUUCGGAUCGUAAAGCUCUGUUGUAAGAGAAGAACGAGUGUGAGAGUGGAAAGUUCACACUGUGACGGUAUCUUACCAGAAAGGGACGGCUAACUACGUG